rnacentral:rRNA from 1 species
GGAUGAACGCUGGCGGCGUGCCUAAUACAUGCAAGUCGAGCGAACAGACGAGGAGCUUGCUCCUCUGACGUUAGCGGCGGACGGGUGAGUAACACGUGGAUAACCUACCUAUAAGACUGGGAUAACUUCGGGAAACCGGAGCUAAUACCGGAGAAUAUAUUGAACCGCAUGGUUCAAUAGUGAAAGACGGUUUUGCUGUCACUUAUAGAUGUAUCCGCGCCGCAUUAGCUAGUUGGUAAGGUAACGGCUUACCAAGGCGACGAUGCGUAGCCGACCUGAGAGGGUGAUCGGUCACACUGGAACUGAGACACGGUCCAGACUCCUACGGGAGGCAGCAGUAGGGAAUCUUCCGCAAAGGGCGAAAGCCUGACGGAGCAACGCCGCGUGAGUGAUGAAGGUCUUCGGAUCGUAAAACUCUGUUAUUAGGGAAGAACAAAUGUGUAAGUAACUAUGCACGUCUUGACGGUACCUAAUCAGAAAGCCACGGCUAACUACGUG